rnacentral:rRNA from 1 species
AGUGAACGCUGGCGGUAGGCCUAACACAUGCAAGUCGAACGGCAGCACAGUAAGAGCUUGCUCUUACGGGUGGCGAGUGGCGGACGGGUGAGGAAUACAUCGGAAUCUACUUUUUCGUGGGGGAUAACGUAGGGAAACUUACGCUAAUACCGCAUACGACCUACGGGUGAAAGCAGGGGAUCUUCGGACCUUGCGCGAUUGAAUGAGCCGAUGUCGGAUUAGCUAGUUGGCGGGGUAAAGGCCCACCAAGGCGACGAUCCGUAGGUGGUCUGAGAGGAUGAUCAGCCACACUGGAACUGAAACACGGUCCAGACUCCUACGGGAGGCAGCAGUGGGGAAUAUUGGACAAUGGGAGCAAGCCUGAUCCAGCCAUACCGCGUGGGUGAAGAAGGCCUUCGGGUUGUAAAGCCCUUUUGUUGGGAAAGAAAAGCAGCAGGUUAAUCCCCCGCUGUUCUGACGGUACCCAAAGAAUAAGCACCGGCUAACUUCGUG